AUCCAAGUGACGAGUCCAAAAUGGGACGAAAUGUGUGUCCUAGAU
rfam:Schistosoma haematobium scaffold247_48, whole genome shotgun sequence.